AUUGAACGCUGGCGGCAGGCCUAACACAUGCAAGUCGAACGAGUGGCGGACGGGUGAGUAAUGUCUGGGAAACUGCCUGAUGGAGGGGGAUAACUACUGGAAACGGUAGCUAAUACCGCAUACCAUCAGAUGUGCCCAGAUGGGAUUAGCUAGUUGGUGGGGUAACGGCUCACCAAGGCGACGAUCCCUAGCUGGUCUGAGAGGAUGACCAGCCACUCUGGAACUGAUACGCGUUCCAGACUCCUACGGGAGGCAGCACUUUGUAAUAUUGCACAAUGGGCGCAAUCCUGAUGCAGCCCUUCCCCGUGUCUGAUGAAGGCCUUCGGGUUGUAAAGUUCUUUCAGCGGGGAGGCGUUACCCGCAGAAGAAGCACCGGCUAACUCCGUGCCAGCAGCCGCGGUAAUUC
rnacentral:rRNA from 1 species